rnacentral:piRNA from 1 species
UGGCAGAGUUCCACCUUCCAUGGCCUC